rnacentral:rRNA from 1 species
UACAGAGGGUGCGAGCGUUAAUCGGAAUCAUUAGGCGUAAAGCGCACGUAGGCGGCGAAGCAAGUCGGGUGUGAAAGCCCUGGGCUCAACCCAGGAAGUGCAUUCGAAACUAUUUCGCUUGAAUCUCGGAGGGGGUCAGAGAAUUCCCGGUGUAGGGGUGAAAUUCGUAGAUAUCGGGAGGAAUACCAGUGGCGAAGGCGCUGACCUGGACGAAGAUUGACGCUGAGGUGCGAAAGCGCGGGGAGCAAACAGG